AUUGAACGCUGGCGGCAGGCCUAACACAUGCAAGUCGAGCGGUAGCACAGAAAGCUUGCUCUCGGGUGACGAGCGGCGGACGGGUGAGUAAUGUCUGGGAAACUGCCUGAUGGAGGGGGAUAACUACUGGAAACGGUAGCUAAUACCGCAUAACGUCGCAAGACCAAAGUGGGGGACCUUCGGGCCUCAUGCCAUCAGAUGUGCCCAGAUGGGAUUAGCUAGUAGGUGGGGUAACGGCUCACCUAGGCGACGAUCCCUAGCUGGGCUGAGAGGAUGACCAGCCACACUGGAACUGAGGCACGGUCCGGACUCCUACGGGAGGCAGCAGUGGGGAAUAUUGCACAAUGGGCGCAAGCCUGAUGCAGCCAUGCCGCGUGUGUGAAGAAGGCCUUCGGGUUGUAAAGCACUUUCAGCGGGGAGGAAGGCGGUGAGGUUAAUAACCUCACCGAUUGACGUUACCCGCAGAAGAAGCACCGGCUAACUCCGUGCCAGCCGCCGCGGUAA
rnacentral:rRNA from 1 species